GACGAACGCUGGCGGCGUGCUUAACACAUGCAAGUCGAACGGAAAGGCCUCUUUCGGGGGGUACUCGAGUGGCGAACGGGUGAGUAACACGUGAGUAACCUGGCCUUGACUUUGGGAUAACUUCAGGAAACUGGGGCUAAUACCGGAUAGGAGCUCCUGCUGCAUGGUGGGGGUUGGAAAGUUUCGGCGGUUGGGGAUGGACUCGCGGCUUAUCAGCUUGUUGGUGGGGUAGUGGCUUACCAAGGCUUUGACGGGUAGCCGGCCUGAGAGGGUGACCGGCCACAUUGGGACUGAGAUACGGCCCAGACUCCUACGGGGGGCAGCAGUGGGGAAUAUUGCACGAUGGGUGGACGCCCGAUGCAGCAACGCCGUGUGCGGGAUGACGGCCUUCGGGUUGUAAACCGCUUUCGCUCAUGACGUAACCUUGUGUGACGGUAGUGGGUAAAGAAGCACCGGCUAACUACGUG
rnacentral:rRNA from 1 species